rnacentral:lncRNA from 1 species
UGGGCAUUGUGUGUAGAUGAGUGAGAAAACUAAAUAAUUUUAAUCCAUGUUGAAUUCAGGAUGUAACACAACAUAAUGUGGAAUAAGUCGAGGGGUAUGAAUACUUCCUGAAUGCACUGUAGCUAUUUGAUAAUGUCCAUGUGCAUGUGCAAAUAUUAACGCAGACUGGAAUCCGACACGGUUUCAAUGGAACUAUCAAAACAAGUCAGACAAACGUCAACCCUCAACAUGUCAACAGCGCGUAUGGGCACGGUUUAGAUGAGACUCAUCUCUUGACAGGCCGGUGGUGGCUGGUCCACUCCAGGAGUCUGAGGUGCGGGAGGUUCCUCCGCCCCCUCUGGACAUCGAGGGGGCCCCGGCGUAUGCUGUUCGAGCCAUCCUGGACUCGAGGCGUCGGGCGAGGGGACUUCAGUACCUCGUGGAGUGGGAGGGGUACGGUCCGGAGGAGAGAUGCUGGGUGUGUUAUGUGGGCUCGCUUUAUUGUAUUAUAUUUAUCUAUUUUGAGUAAAUUUUGUUUAUUUACUCAUAUCUGCUGUCCUGCGCCUGACUCCUCUACAUAAGCUACACACAGACCACAUUACACAGUAAUUUGUGAUAUUACUCCUUUUCUCAUAUAAAGUAAUAUGUUACUGUAAGUGAUUCUGUUGCAUUUGUCUAUUUUUCCACAUUAAAUCUUAGACGUGGAACUCUGUGUUGUGUAUUGUUUUUGUAGGCCACCAGCACCAAUGACGAACACUCUAACCACUGUCACAGCAAGGAGAGAGGACGCAAGGAAUCAUGAAUAUGCAGUUGAGAUUGUUCCCAGAUGUGAUGUUCCAGGGACCACAAUUUGUCCACCA